rnacentral:rRNA from 1 species
UCGCCCGUCGGUGUGGGGAGUAGCCGGCUAACGCCCGGGUAAUACCGCAUACGUUCUUUCGGGGAGUCCCUGGGAGAGGAAAGCUCCGGCGCACGGGAGGGGUUCGCGGCCUAUCAGCUAGUUGGCGGGGUAAUGGCCCACCAAGGCGACGACGGGUAGCUGGUCUGAGAGGAUGGCCAGCCACAUUGGGACUGAGAGACGGCCCAG